UCAAGAUGAACGCUAGCUACAGGCUAACACAUGCAAGUCGAGGGGCAGCAUGAAGUUUGCUGCAAACUUGAUGGCGACCGGCGCACGGGUGAGUAACGCGUAUCCAACCUGGCCCGCAGUAGGGAACAGCCCGGCGAAAGUCGGAUUAAUGCCCUAUGUCUUCCUUUGCAGGCAUCCAAUGAGGAAGAAAGAUUUAUCGCUGCGGGAUGGGGAUGCGUCUGAUUAGCUUGUCGGCGGGGUAACGGCCCACCGAGGCGACGAUCAGUAGGGGUUCUGAGAGGAAGGUCCCCCACACUGGUACUGAGACACGGACCAGACUCCUACGGGAGGCAGCAGUGAGGAAUAUUGGUCAAUGGGGCGAGAGCCUGAACCAGCCAAGUAGCGUGCAGGAACCGACUGCCCUAUGGGUUGUAAACUGCUUUUAUGCGGGGAUAAACUUCAGCACGUGUGCUGUUUUGCAGGUACCGCAUGAAUAAGGACCGGCUAAUUCCGUGCCAGCCGCCGC
rnacentral:rRNA from 1 species